ensembl:misc_RNA Metazoa_SRP Metazoan signal recognition particle RNA
GCCGGGCGUGGUGGCGCACGCCUGUAAUCCCAGCUACUUAGGAGGCUGAGGCAGGAGAAUCGCUUGAACCCGGGAAGCGUGGGUUGCAGUGAGCAGAGAUCGCGCCACUGCACUCCAGCCUGAGCUACAGAGCAAAACUCUGUCUCAA